AGAGUUUGAUUCUGGCUCAGGAUGAACGCUAGCUACAGGCUUAACACAUGCAAGUCGAGGGGCAGCAUUGGGGUAGCAAUACUCAGAUGGCGACCGGCGCACGGGUGAGUAACACGUAUCCAACCUGCCGCUUACUCGGGGAUAGCCUUUCGAAAGAAAGAUUAAUACCCGAUGGUAUAAAGAGUUCGCAUGUUCUCUUUAUUAAAGAAUUUCGGUAAGCGAUGGGGAUGCGUUCCAUUAGAUAGUUGGCGGGGUAACGGCCCACCAAGUCUACGAUGGAUAGGGGUUCUGAGAGGAAGGUCCCCCACAUUGGAACUGAGACACGGUCCAAACUCCUACGGGAGGCAGCAGUGAGGAAUAUUGGUCAAUGGACGAGAGUCUGAACCAGCCAAAGUAGCGUGAAGGAUGACUGCCCUAUGGGUUGUAAACUUCUUUUAUAAGGGAAUAAAGUGAGGGACGUGUCCCUUUUUGUAUGUACCUUAUGAAUAAGGAUCGGCUAACUCCGUGCCAGCCGCGGC
rnacentral:rRNA from 1 species